UACGUAGGGUGCGAGCGUUGUCCGGAAUUAUUGGGCGUAAAGAGCUUGUAGGCGGUUUGUCGCGUCUGCCGUGAAAUUUCGGGGCUCAACCCCGAACUUGCGGUGGGUACGGGCAGACUAGAGUAUGGUAGGGGAGACUGGAAUUCCUGGUGUAGCGGUGAAAUGCGCAGAUAUCAGGAGGAACACCGAUGGCGAAGGCAGGUCUCUGGGCCACUACUGACGCUGAGAAGCGAAAGCAUGGGGAGCGAACAGG
rnacentral:rRNA from 1 species